GUGUCGAGGGGAGCGCGCGCGGUGAGGGCGCGCGCCGGCGGCUGGGGGAGGAGCGGGGGCCGGGGCGCUCCUGUGGGAAGGUAGGGUGAAAGGUCGCCGGUCCCCGGCAACACGGCUCAGGCAAACGUAAGCGGCUUGUCGCAGAAACCAAGGGGUCCACGAAACGCGCUAGGCUAGAAGGCGGGAAGGAGAGAUUACUGACAGCCGUGCCAGCCAAUAAAAUGGAAAUUUCUGAAAUAACCCAUCUUGAAGACAUAAACAACCUGCAUUGAUGGCUAGCCAGACUCUGUCCUGCCACAGUUCUCCUCCUACUCUUCAUUUCUUACCCCAAGGAGUAGUAAACAUGAAUCCUGACCCACCAAUGCAGUCCCAGAACUGAGAAAAGAUUCAUUGCAGCUAAACAGUAGGUAGAAAUAAAAACAAUGACUCAAUUCGAUAAUAUUAAGUGUGUUGGGAAGACAGUCUCCAAAAGAAAGGAUAAAUAACCUACAUAAUGAAGAAUUACUUAGCAGUGUUAUGUAAAUAUUGUAGCAGCAUCAAUGAGGAGGUGAACAGUGCCCUAUGGAACUCCAGGAACUUCAAAACAUUUUUAUCCAGGCUUUUGCUACAUUUUGAUGAAUAA
rnacentral:lncRNA from 1 species